GCCCAGGCCCGCGGCAGCUGAAUGGCGGAGCCUGUCCCUGCAUAGCUGCGCUUCCACCUGGCGUUCAGUACCUCGUGCCCGAGAGCGGAAAAGGGAAAUCGCGAGCGGAGGACCGAUGUGCUGGCCACGUGGGCCCCGCCGGGCCGACUCCGGACCCUGCUGCCGCCCGCUGCUCCGGUGCAAGGGACCUGGAAAUGAUCCCGGUGCCGCUCCUCUCCCACCAGCUAGGGAGCAGAGGCGCGGGAGGGAGGGGGCGUCCCGGGGGUCGCCAGCACGCUGGGGGCAGGGCUGGCAGCCGCCCCCACGCCCCCGCGCUGGAAGCCUCGUCUUUGUAACAUCGAGGUGUCCUAUAACUAGAUGGGUCCUGGCCUGCGGAGGUAGUUUCCCCUGUGAAGCCAGGGACUCAGCUAGGAGCGUGAGGGGAGCCGGAUCCUGAGUCUCCAAACCGCCCACUACUCUGCUUUACCGGAUGGAACUCAUCAGUAACUAGGUAUCUUUAAGGGCGGCUCCCUGGCGCGCUCUGAGAGUUACGGAAGUCCCAAAAUGCUUUGACCGAAAACGUCUACACAGUGAAUACAUAAAGCAAAAAGCCGCGUGGGAAAUUCGAGUCCCUAGGAGCGCCCAGGGUACGCCUCUGGAGGUGGACUGCCACUCACUCCAGGCCACGCUGGAAUGCCCGCACCAGGGAGGCACUGGACUUGAAUUGGGGACACUUUUUUUUUUUUCAUUUUUACCUUUCAUUCCCUUUUGGACAAUCCAGACAGGAUAUGUCUCUCCCUAGGGUGGGGAUUUCGACUCCCUAGGGUGGUAGUGCAGCCGAUGAAGAGUUAAAGAGAAGAGAGAGUAGAUCCAGAUCUAGCCUUGGGUGGGUGGGGGUGGGGUUGGAGGAGCUCAGAGCACUGGCCCAGCGCUGCCCCCAACUUGCUGUGUGCUCUUGGACAAAUUAUCUCCCUUCCCUGGGCUUCAGAUAACCCAAGGAUCCUUACAUAUCUUUAUAGCUAGAAAGCCCUGUGAGGUUUUGAAAAACUUCCUUGGUACCCAAAACCAGGUCUGAGGCACAGUCAGUGAAUACCUGUUUAAUGAAUGCAUGCAUAAAUGAAUGAAUGGAUGAUCCAGCUCUUCCUGGAGCAGACACGACUUCCACAGAAACAAAAAGAGAGCAAACUCGAGCCGUAAGCAGAAGUGUUUCCGAAAAAUCCAGUCCACCCUCCAAGGUGGAAAGUGUGCCAUCUCUGCCCAUAAUCCAAAUGGCGUGCCUGAGGCAUAGAAAGCAGCUUUCAGGGAGGCCCUCCUUCCUCUGAGCAACGGUGGCAUCAUCAGAGAAGUGGAGCUCCUCCAAAAGGAUCUGCUGGAAGCAGAGGACGCCCAUGUCUCCUGGUGACUCCCUCUGACCCAACAAGUUGCAGCACCUCUGCUGGGCUUUGCCACUGCCCCAUUUUUGCCAGAGCCUCACCCUGGUGGGGCCCCACCUCUGGGAAGCCCCAGCGCCUGCAAGACUUUUUCCUCUCGUGACAGGGAGCAGCAUGCGGAGGGCCCUUGCACAACCUGGGUCUUCAGGAAGUUCCUUGCCCAGGUGUUGGCCCAGCUCUCCUCAUGGUUCCAAGAAGGCUGCCCCAGGAAGGCUUGUGGACAGAGGGAGAAGCAUCUCUUCCUCUAUGUCUCUUUUUAUCUAAGAAACCAGUUUGACCAGCAUCCUUCCCCUCGGCUCUCCAGGAGGAAUGCACGGAUCCCUUCGCCUUCCCCAUCCCUCCAUGGUUGACUAAACCCACUAGGAUCCACUCUUUUGCGUGGAAAUGCGUUCAGGCCUCCCACGAAGCGCAUGAAGAUGCCCUCUGUUAUGGGUUACAUUAUGUCCCCUGCCCCUGAGACCUUACGUUGAGUCCUAACCCUAGUAUUGCAGAAUGUGAAUUUAUUAGGGGAUAGGGUCUUUAUGGAGGCCAUUAAGUUAAAUGAGGGCGUUAGGGUGGGCUGGUGUCCUGAUAUAAAGGGGAAAUUUGGGGCUGGGUGUAGUGGCUCACACAUAAUCCCAGUGCUUCGAGAGGCCAAGGCAGGAGGAUUGCUUGAGGGCAGGAGUUCAAGACCAGCUUAGGUAACAUAGGGAGACCCGGUAUCUAUAAAAAAAAUUAAAAACAAAAAAAUUAGCCGAGUGUGGUGGUGCAUGCCUGUAGUCCCAGCUACUCAGGAGGCUGAGGCGGGAGGAUCGCUUGAGUCCAGGAAUUUGAGGCUGCAGUGAGCCGUAAAAAGAUGGGGGACGAUGGAGACACACAGGGAAAACACCUUGUGAGUGCGGCAGAGAUAAGGGUGAUGCCUCUACACACUGAGGAACUUCAAAGACAACCAGCAAGCCACUGGGAGCUCGGGGAAGGCACAGCGCAGAUGCUCACUGCCAUCAGAGGGAAGCCAGCCCGCCAACCCCUUGAUCUCAGACCUCUGACCCCUGGAACUGUGAGAUGAUAGAUUUCUGUUGUUUAAGCCCCAGUUUGUGGUGCUUUGUUACAGCAGCCCUAAGGAACCAUCCGCUAUCAGAGCAAAAGCAGGGCUGGACUGCUAGAAGAAAGGAGAGGAGAACAGCAGAGGAUACCUGCCUUGGGGCUGAACCUGAGAUCACUCCAGGGCUCCCCAGGUUGUUUUGAAGAAUGGAGAUAGAUUUGUGCAGGGCUCACUGUAGAAGCUCAGUGCAACAUGUGACGCUUAAAAGGCUGCAAUCCACAGAGCUCAGUCCCUGAGGAGCGCUGCAUUCACAGACAUCAACCAGCAGACAAACCAGUACCUAUUGUCCCUGACCCCCAGAAUCCAGCAGACAUAUAAAAGAUGGUUGUUAACCCCACUAAGUUUUGGGGUAAUUUGUUAUGCAGCCAUGCAACUGAAAGCAUCAGCUACAAUAUUCUUGUAAUGAAAUUCUUAGCCAGGACCCUCAUAGCCCAGCAAGAAGUUCUCUCUGGAAGAGCCCAGCUUUGGGGUUGGAUAGAUCUGGGUUUUAAUAUGUCAAGAGGGCAGGCCCUGGAGACGGAGCACAUGGAUUUGAAUCCCAGCCUCUCAUAGGCAGAUUAAUUAAUUUCCCUGACUCUCAGUUUCUUCAUCUCUAAAUGGAGAAAAUAAUAGAAGCCACCUCAAAGGGAAUUAAAUGAGAUUAUUUACGCACAGCACCAAGGCUGUGUCUACUGUAUUUGACCCCUGAAACAGUUAAUUUUUCUUGACAUCCCUUCCUCGGUAUAUGUAUUAGUCAGGAUUCUCUAGAGGGACAGAACUAAUAGGAUAUCUCUCUAUAUAGAGAUUUAUGUAAAGGGGAGUUUAUUAAGUAUUAACUUACACAAUCACAAGGUCCUGCGAUAGGUUGUCUGCAGGCUGAGGAGCAAGGGGAGCCAGUUCAAGUCCCAAAACUGAAGAACUUGGAGUCCGAUGUUCGAGGCCAGGAAGCAUCCAGCACAGGACAAAGAUGUAGGCUGGGAGGCCAGUCCUGACUCUCCUUUUCAUGUUUUUCUGCCUGCUUUAUAUUCACUGGCAGCUGAUUAGAUGGCGCCCACCAGAUUAAAGGUGGAUCUGCCUUCCCCAGCCCACUGACUCAAGUGUUAAUCUCUUUUGGCAACACCCUCACAGACACACCCAGGAUCCAUACUUUCAGUUCAAUCAAGUUGACACUCAGUAUUAACCAUCACAAUACAAUAGGAUUACUUUCUGUAAUAACCUAUGUAAAAAUAAGCAGUCAUUAUUUUCCUGU